GACGAACGCUGGCGGCGUGCUUAACACAUGCAAGUCGAACGGAGUGGCGAACGGGUGAGUAUUACGUGAGUAACCUGCCCUCAACUGUGGGAUAAGCCUGGGAAACUGGGUCUAAUACUGCAUAGCUGGGGAUGGGCUCGCGGCCUAUCAGCUUGUUGGUGGGGUGUGGGCCUACCAAGGCGGUGACGGGUAGCCGGCCUGAGAGGGUGGGCGUGCACAUGGGGGCGUAGAUCCGGACCAGACGCCUACGGGAGGCAGCAGUGGGCGAUAUUGCACAAUGUGAGCAAGCCUGAUGCAGCGACGCCGCGUGAGGGAUGAAGGCUUGCGGGUUGUAAACCUCUUUCGGUACAGAACGGGUAUGUGCACAAGAAGCGCCGGCUAACUACGUGCCAGCAGCCGCGGUAAUAC
rnacentral:rRNA from 1 species